UCAAACUUGGUCAUUUAGAGGAAGUAAAAGUCGUAACAAGGUUUCCGUAGGUGAACCUGCGGAAGGAUCAUUAUUGAAUUUUAAUGAAGAGUUGGUUGUAGCUGGCCCAUUAAAUUGGGCAUGUGCACACCUUCUCUCUCAUCCACACACACCUGUGCACCUGUGAGACAGAUGGGGAAUUUAUUUAUUUAUUUUCUUUGGAGGAGAAAUAAUUAUUGGACCCUCUGUCUACUUAAUUGAUAUAAACUCAGAUCAAUUUUAAAAUGAAUGUAAUGGAUGUAACACAUCUAAUACUAAGUUUCAACAACGGAUCUCUUGGCUCUCGCAUCGAUGAAGAACGCAGC
rnacentral:misc_RNA from 1 species